rnacentral:rRNA from 1 species
UACGUAGGGUGCGAGCGUUAAUCGGAAUUACUGGGCGUAAAGCGUGCGCAGGCGGUCUGUUAAGACCGAUGUGAAAUCCCCGGGCUUAACCUGGGAACUGCAUUGGUGACUGGCAGGCUUUGAGUGUGGCAGAGGGAGGUAGAAUUCCACGUGUAGCAGUGAAAUGCGUAGAGAUGUGGAGGAAUACCGAUGGCGAAGGCAGCCUCCUGGGCCAACACUGACGCUCAUGCACGAAAGCGCGGGGAGCAAACAGG